rnacentral:rRNA from 1 species
GGCGACGAUCGAUAGCGGGUCUGAGAGGAUGAUCCGCCAGACUGGAACUGAGACACGGUCCAGACUCCUACGGGAGGCAGCAGUAGGGAAUUUUCCACAAUGGGGGCAACCCUGAUGGAGCAACGCCGCGUGCAGGAUGAAGGCCCUCGGGUCGUAAACUGCUUUUCUCUGUGAUGAUUAUGACAGUAGCAGAGGAAUAAGGAUCGGCUAACUCCGUGCCAGCAGCCGCGGUCAUACGGAGGAUCCAAGCGUUAUCCGGAAUUACUGGGCGUAAAGAGUUGCGUAGGCGGUCUUGUAAGCAGGGCAUGAAAUAGUGUGGCUCAACCAUACUGCUAUGUUCUGAACUGCAAGACUAGAGGAUGAGAGAGGUUAUUGGAAUUCCCAGUGUAGGAGUGAAAUCCGUAGAUAUUGGGAGGAACACCGAAGGCGUAGGCAGAUAACUGGCUCAUUCCUGACGCUCAGGCACGAAAGCGUGGGUAGCAAACGGGAUUAGAUACCCCGGUAGUCCACGCCGUAAACUAUGGAUGCUAGCUGUACACCGUAUCGACCCGGUGUGUAGCGAAGCUAACGCGUUAAGCAUCCCGCCUGUGGAGUACGAGCGCAAGCUUAAAACAUAAAGGAAUUGACGGGGACCCGCACAAGCGGUGGAGCGUGUUGUCUAAUUCGAUGGUAAACGAAGAACCUUACCAAGGCUUGAAAUCCUGAGAAGUUCUGCGAAAGCAGA